UACCUGAUUAGCUCAGAUGGUUAGAGCAUCCGUCUCAUACGCGGAAAGUCACUAGUUCAAAUCUAGUAUCAGGUAU
rnacentral:tRNA from 1 species